GCCUGGGUGGUUCAUUCGGUUAAGCAUCUGACUUUGGCUCAGGUCAUGAUCUCACAGCUCGUGGGUUUGAGUCCCACGUCAGGCU
rfam:Felis catus isolate Cinnamon breed Abyssinian chromosome A1, whole genome shotgun sequence.